rnacentral:lncRNA from 1 species
AUGUUUCUGCUAACGAUGAAUUCUGUAGAGGGUUCCGGUGAUUGUCCUCGAUAUUUUGGCUCGGGAAACUGAAUUGAAAGCAUGCAAAUGUACACACACGAGCUGAGCUCGUAAAAGGUGCUACACCAUCGGCCCAGCCACGGGAGCACUCUACUACUCUCUGCUGCCAAGGGCGAACCGGAGUAUUUACACGCUACAGCGACAGCGCGGAAACAACAAGAGCAUGGGGGCAGGGCAACCGCAAAACACAAAACGAGAAAGGGAAAGCAACAGCAACUCUACUACUACCGCUCCUAUACUCCUUUUUUCCUUUUGCUACGCGCACACGGAAGGCCACACGGAGCUUGCAGCACACAGCCGAGGCGCGCGACGGCCGCCGAGGCCCGGAUCACUCGAGCUCCGGGUAGCGGAGCACCGGCGUCUCGUCGGCGGGGAGGGGCACGUGGGCGCGGCAGAGCGGGCACGUGGCGCGCUCGUACCGGAGCCAGGUCUCGAGGCAGGCGCGGUGGAAGAGGUGGCCGCAGGGGAGCCGGUUCACCACGGCCUCCGCCUCGAACCCGGCCAGGCACACGCUGCAGUCGUCGUCGCCCGCGGCCGCCUCCGCCGCGCCGCACGCCGUGGACACCAGCACCCCGUACAGCGCCGGCCGGAAGGCCCUCAGGAACCGCUCCGCCAGGCCCAGGCCCGGGCCCGACGCCGCGAGACGGUCGUCGUCCGCGCCCGCGCCCGCGCCCCCGGGCAGCUGCGCGGCCUGCAGGUCCAGGAACACCAGCGCCGCCCGCACCAGCCCCGCCAGCGCCGCGAUCGACACCACCGCGUUGUACACCAGGUACCCCAGCAGGCUGUCCCGCGGCUCCGGCAUGCUCGAGAUCCCCAUCGCCGGGCGAGCUCGGGAGGGUUCGUCGGUUUGGGGGAUCCGACCCGUGGACCGGGUUGCAAUUUCCGAUUAUUUCGGGGUGGCCGGCGCGAGGACUGGCAGCGGGAUGGAUGGAUGGAUGGACAGACAGACACACACAGGCGAGUGGAGGAGGGGGAGCGGUGGGUGGGGCGGGUAGCGCGCGUUUUAUAGAUGCGGCGGCUGGCUAUAUCUUGCUCGGGGAGCCGCUAGCCGCUGACGGCUGGUGCCUCCUUCCUUCCUCUGCCGUUGGAUCCGCGCGGCCGAGCGCGCCUGGCCGUCCGAUCGGCGGGAGACAUGCCACAUGCGUAGGUUCGUGGCGCCCAAUAAUAUGCCCGCCGCUUUGCCCAAUAAUGCGUGCGGUUCGUGAGGCCAGGCGCGGCGCAGGGGAAUCCAAUUAUUCAGGCCGAUCCAAACCGGUCUGUCGAGCUAUAGUACCAAGAGCACAGCACAGUGGAUCGUCACAAGACAGUGUCCUCCGGAAAAUCCGCUACGCAUCGACCAUCUCAACUAUUUAAACACCAUGAUAAGCACCAAAGUUAGUACUCAGAGGAGCACUAUACGUACUGACGGAUUCACAGAGCAUCCGGAACGUGGAAAAAAGUUGAGAAGAAUCUCGGUAUCGGACGCAGCGUCCAAGCAAGAGGAUGAAUUGAUGACCGCGGGCAGACACGACGCGCGCACGUCCGCAGCCAGCGAGGGGUCGCGAUCGGGGCGGCACCAACUUGGUUGGAAGCGUGGCCGCCCGCCUCCCCGACGAACGUCCACUCAGAGUCUCAGACGCUGCGGGCGCUGCUGCUGCUGCUGCGACUAGUGGGACGCUAGGUAGGCAGGGCCCGGACGGCGAUCGCUCCGUGCGCGACGACGACGAGCCAUCGCGGUGACGAAACAAAGCGCGUAAAAACCGAACGGUUUUUUUUUUAUUUUAACCUUUUUUUAAAAAAAAUCACGUUCAGAUUCUCGAGAGAUUAAAGUCGACGUCGUAGAUCAUGACGUCAGGUUAACACGUAAUGGCUCUAAGAUGUUUGGUUUACCAUUUCCAUUUGAGCUGGCGUCGACAUGUAUGGAAAAAAAAAACUAUUGUUCGCAUAACGUAUAAUGAUUUAAUGAUUUUGUAUAGCCUAGUUAGUUAGAUGUACUUAACGCUCCAACAGUUUUUUUUUCAAUAACAAAUGUUGCUUAAUCAUGUAAGCAAGAGCCUGAACACACUCCAAGAAAGACAGCAUUUUCUUUCAAUAAGUUGCAAUAGAUUAGAUAUACACUCGUAUGAAACUAAGAGUUCAGAUUCAACAAGAACAUAAUAAUGGUGCGGUAGAAUAACACUAGUCUUAAAUACCUUUACCUUCACGCAGACUCAUAUAUUCCUCAAAAGAAUACUAGUCUUCACAACUAAGAAAAUGGAAAAACAGUAGUUAUAAAAAUUGUUAGAUGCAAACUAGCAAAGGCCGCGGCCAGCGGGGGCUGUCAUGAUCGGCGCCGAGAAAAUCAUUGGCGACCGGAUCGGAACCAGGAGCAAGGACGGGCUGCUAGCCUUGCUCGGCGCUACUAUUACCACGUACGUACGUGCAACCCAAAUCUCCCGUUGCAUCUGAGCUUGGCCACCAGCCCACCAGCUUGACUUGAUUGGGGAGCCACCUCCGAAAUCGUUCGCUACAAGUUCUCAAACGCUCACCGGUUGGUAAACUCACAAAGAUAGUGAGCACACUACAGUAAACGGAGACACGUCCGACGGCCUUCUUAUCUCCGACGGCCCUGUACGAGGCCGUCGGAGAUAAGCUUAUGUCCGACGGCCGCAACCGGCUCUCGGAAAUAUCGCUUAUCUCCGACGGCCUUGUACAGGGCCGUCGGAGAUAAGGUUAUCUCCGACGGCCUUCCACCGAGCCGUCGGACAUAAGCCUUUUUAACGCUUGGAUCGGACCCGCGCGGCUUUCAUUUCCGCGCGUCGGUUUCUUCAGCCGCCGCCGCCGUCCCGCUCGCCGCCACCAUCGCCGCCGCUCGCUCUGUCGCCGCCACGCCCGCCGUCGCCGGAGAUAAGGCGCCCGUGCUCCCGCCGCCGCCGCCCCGUGGUCCGGCCCGUGCUCCGGCCACCGCCCCGAGCUCCGCCCCGUGCUCCGGUCGCCGCCGUCGCCGCCCCGUUCGCCGGUCACCGCCGCCCCGUGCUCCGGCCAACGGCCACGUGCGCCCGUCGCCGGCCGGCUCCCCACGCCCGCUAAGUGAGUAUCCUUAAUUAGCAAUUUUGUUUAUUAAAAUUGUAUGUUUGUAUUAAUUUAUUUGAUUAAAAUAGUAUGCUUGUAUUAAUGUAUUUGAUUAUAAUUGUAUGUGUGAAUGUAUUUAAUUGUUUAGUUUGUUAUGUCCGACGGCUAAAAUUUGAUUACGUAAUUAAAGUAGCUUGUUUUAGUUUAUUUAGUGGUACUUUAGAUAAUUUAAUUUUUUAAUUUCCGAGGGUAAUUAUUAUGCCCUCGGAAAUAAGGUCAUUUUAUAUGAUUUGUCAUCUAUAACAAUGUUAUUUCGUAUGUAAUAUUGUAUUGUGGUUUAUUAGUUUAAUUAUUUAAUAAUGCACGAUGAUUAUAGUUAAUCAUAGUGUAUCGUAGUGUGAACAAACGAAACCUAGGCGUCACCCGUUUCGGCCCAACACACCUUACAAGCGACGCAUGUGAGGUAUGUUGGGCCGGAAUUGUCCCUUUAUUGGACAGCCUCGGGGUGACCGACAGAGUCUGUGUUUAUGACAAAAGCAUGUGCUCCUGCUUAGUUUCGGCAGCAUAACCUCUCUGUUCUCCAAUUGCACCAUUUUUAGGCGUGCGAUUGGAGAACAACGGGGUUAUGCUGCCGAAAUUUCGCACGACCACAUGUCUUGUCAAAAACACGGCCUCGUCGGUCACUCCUGGGUGGGUUUAGGACCUAUCCUUUCCUACAGAUGUAGGGGCGUGAUUUCUUCGUAAAAACGGAUGGCCAGUGCAUUACUUAUCUAAUUAAGUUAACGUCUCGUAGCUAGUAUGGAGGAGAAUCGUCGAUGGAUGUAUGAAGGUUGGAAGAAAAGAGGUGCUCUAUCAAGUGAGUGGGUGGCCAAGACUGAUGCUUUUCUCGACCAUGCUUUUGCUCGGUCAGAGACUGGAACCGAUGUUAGGUGCCCUUGUAGCAAGUGUCGGAACAUUAAUUUACUUGACAGGAGGACUAUGUCGAUACAUAUUUGCAAGAACGGUUAUAUGCCAGGCUAUGAGGUGUGGGUGCACCACGGUGAGGACCCACCUCCUCGUAUUGUAUCGGAAGUUCAGUCACAUGAAGAGGAGGACUACGAUAGGAUGGAAGAGAUGCUUGACGAUGUACGCCAUGAGUUUCUAACCGUCGAUUCGGAGAACCCCGGUCAACCCACCGAGUUUGAGGAUCCAGCUACACCUGAGGUUCAGAAGUUCUUCGAGCUCCUUAAAGCUGCCGAAGAGCCGUUGCAUGAGCACACAAAAGUGACCGUCCUUGUAUUUGUGACUCGACUUAUGGCUAUUAAGUCUAAGUUUGCAUUCUCAAACAACUGUUACAAGGAACUUUUGAACUUGAUCAGUGAUGUACUUCCGGAGAAUCACAAGAUGCCAAAGGACAUGUAUCAGUCUAAAAAGUUGUUAUCUGGCCUCGGUAUGGACUACGAAAAAAUCGAUGUCUGUGAAAAUAAUUGUAUGCUUUUCUGGAAGGAGACCGCAGGUGAGAAGAAGUGUACUGUAUGUGGUGAGCUUAGAUUCGUUGAGGUUGAAAACGACGAUGGUUUGACCGUGACUACGAAGAUUGCACGUAAGCAGCUUCGUUACAUGCCUCUCAUACCUCGGUUGAAACGUUUGUUCAUCUCCAAGAAUACAGCCAGACACAUGAGGUGGCACAAAGAAGGGGUACGUGAGAAUCCAAAUGUCAUGGUGCACCCAGCUGAUACAGAUGCAUGGAAGGCACUAGAUGCUUUUGAUUCCAGCUUUGCUGAUGAAGUGCGGAAUGUCCGCUUCGGUUUGGCAACAGAUGGUUUCUCACCAUUCAAUCUAACCGCAACGUCGUACUCAUGUUGGCCCGUCUUUGCUGUUCCAUACAACCUUCCACCAGCUCUUUGCAUGAAAUAUGAAUUUAUUUUCUUGUGUCUUAUAAUACCUGGUCCGGAUCAUCCUGGAACAAAGAUCGAUGUGAUGAUGAGACCCCUGAUUGAAGAAUUGAAAAUUUUGUGGGAAGGAGUCGAGGCGUACGAUUGUUACAAGAAACAGAAGUUCAACCUGAGAGCCGCGUUUUUAUGGUCUAUUCAUGAUUUUAUGGCUUAUGGUAUCUUUGCUGGAUGGAGUUGUCAUGGGAUUUUGACAUGUCCUAUAUGCGUUGAAGACACUUUAUGCUUUCGACUAAAGUUUGGUGGAAAGAUAUGUUACUUCGAUUGUCAUAGAUGUUUUUUGCCAGAGGAUCACCCGUUCAGGUUCGAUAGGAACGCUUUUAAAAAGGACACGAUUGUGACGAGGGGACCACCCAAGCGUCUAAGUGGUCCAGAGAUUCUCGCGAGACUUAAUGAUUUGAAACUAAACGAACAUGGAAAUCGUUUUGAAGGUUAUGGAACGGAGCAUAAUUGGACUCACAAAUGUGGUCUAUGGGAACUCCCUUAUAUGAAAGCCUUGAUUCUAAUGCAUAACAUUGAUGUCAUGCACCAGGAACGAAAUAUGGGUGAAAGCAUUAUCAGCACUUGCAUGAAUAUCACUGACAAAACAAAAGACAACCCUAAGGCAAGGAAAGACUUGGCCUUAAUCUGUAGAAGACCAACUAUGGAGAUAGGAGAGAAUCAGAAGAAGCCACGUGCUCCUUUCAGUAUUAAACCUAAAAGGAAGAAACAAUUGAUGAAAUGGUUGAAAAACUUAAAGUUCUCAGAUGGUUACGCCGCGGGCUUUAGAAGGUCUGUGAAUUUGAAGACGGGCAAAUUUUCUGGGUUGAAGAGUCAUGACUACCACAUAAUAAUGGAAAGACUCCUUCCUGUUAUGUUUCGUGGUUUUGUAAAAAAUGAUGUCUGGAAAGCAUUAGCGGAGCUAAGCUACUUUUAUAGACAUCUUUGUGCCAAAGAAAUAAAGAAAGAGAUGAUGGAGAAGCUUGAGCAAGAAAUACCGAUUUUGGUAUGCAAACUUGAAAAAAUAUUUCCACCAGGUUUCUUCAAUCCGAUGCAACAUCUACUUGUUCACCUACCAUACGAAGCUAAGGUAGGAGGUCCUAUGCAAUAUAGAUGGAUGUAUCACAUCGAAAGGACACUAAAGAAGCUACGUGCAAUGGUUGGUAAUAAGAGACGAGUUGAAGGGUGCAUCGCUGAAGAAUUCAAAUACAAAGAGAUAGCAUCGUUCACGGGCCUGUACUUUGCAGAGGAACACAAUGUCAAUGCCCAUACGUUGCGGUAUCAUGUCGACGAGCCCCCUAUUAGUGAUAUUGAAAUUUUUCAAUGGAGGGGCAAAACUGUAGGACCCAGCACAACAUACUGUUUCACCAACGACGAAUGGAAGACUGCUUUACUCUACAUGUAUAACAACAUGGAAGAGAUGAGCCAGUUUCUCUUGUAAGUGUAAACUUUAUUUUAGUCAUUGGCGCUAGAAUUUUUGUUGUGAUACUAAAAGGUUUGUUUCCUUGUACUAACAGGGAAUUUGAUUCUCAAAAUUGCAUCUCUGGCUGUGAACGUGACCAGAUUCGUCGAGAGGGAAAAGAUGGGGGACUUAAUUUCUUGUGUUGGUUUCGAGAUUAUGUAGAUAAAAAUGACAAUAUACACCCGGACCUUCGACAAUUAUCCCUAGGAGCAGUAACUGGCAGACGUUAUGGUCGGUAUGAUGUCAAUGGUUUUAGAUUCCGUUCCACAAGGUUUGAAGAUGAUCAUCCUCUAGCAGCCACGACAAACUCCGGAGUUGUAACUAGAGCUGUCGAUGAUGAAGGGAAGGUGACUAAUUAUUAUGGAGUCAUUAAUGAUAUAAUCGAGUACAAGUUUUUUGGAGAUAAACAACUCAAAGUGGUGUUCUUCGAUUGUGAUUGGUUUUCUCCAAAUACAACGCGAGAAAAUCAAUAUGGCAUGGUGGAAGUCAAACACAACGAUAGAUUAAAAGGCCACGACACUAUAAUCCUUGCCCACCAAUGCGAGCAGGUGUAUUAUAUGACAUAUCCAUCUAAGAAAAACGGUUUGGUUGAUUGGAGGGUAGUGUACAAAGUUAAUCCGCGUGAACGACUAUAUGCUCCUGGUGAUGCUGGUUAUGUUGAAAGUCAAAUCGAGCAGGAAGUGGGGGCUGCUGAGAUUUUCCAAGACGAAGAACUUACAAGCACGUUUAAUGUACAAACUGAAAUGUUGGAAGAAUCUUUAUUAGGCGAUCAAAAUGAUGUAGAGGUUCCUCCAAAAAGAAAACGAGUGACGAGAAAGAAGAAAGCUACUUGGCGUCCAUUAAAUCGACGAAAGCAACUAGAUCCUGAUUUUGAUUACGAUUACGAUUGACGAGUAUGGAUCAUGAUUUUAUUGCAUAUUUUAUGAUUUUAUUGCAUAUUUUAUUAUUUUAUUGUCGAUUUAUGUACUAACUUGUUUUUGUUAAAAUAGGAUGUCAAAGAAAAUGAAGUCUUUAGCUCGUAGUUUGCUUGGGUCGAGGAGUAGCUCGAGGAGCAGCUCGAGGGGUGAGGAUUCAGUUUUUCAGGGCGCAGGUUCUACCAUGAGCAGACGGAGAGCGCUGGCAGAACAUUUGCCUCCACAAGAUGUAAGUUAGUUGUUAAAUUACAUUAUUUGAGUUACUUAAUAUUGUAUGAUGUAAGUUAUUUGUUUCAUAGGAUGAUGGUGGAGGAUCAUGCAAGAGAUGAUGUUGAAGAUGAUGGUGGAGAUAAUGUGGGAGAUGAUGCUGGAGACGACGCUGGUGGGGAUUCUGGGGCUGGGGAUUCUGGGGCUGGUGGAGAUUCUGCAGCUGGGUCUGGAACUUCUCGAGUUAAGAGAACGAGGAAGCUUGCAUUUUGUUGGACCACCUCCAGAGCUUCCACCCGAAUCUCGGGUUGUGAUAAAGCCUAGUGGAAAGUGAGUGACAUAUCUUUGCUUAAAUGUUAUUGAAAGUUAUGUUUUAAUUUCUACAUUGAUUUCUGUUUGCAGGACUUGGAUCGACGACUCGUUCACAGGCACAGGACACUACAGGCAGGUGAACAUGGUUCUUGGUAAUCUUGUUCGUCUGCACUGGCCUGGUCUUGUGACUUUGCCUACUGGCGAGUCUGUCCCCGCCACCACUUGGGAGCAUUAUCGCUAUGGUGUCUGUAGAACGUUUGGCAACACACAGGCACUAGUUUGGGAUGCAUUCUGGGUAUGACUUGUUUAUACUAUUUUAGUUAUUCCAUAUAUGUUUGCUUUUAUGAUAACACUAUGGUUUUUGCAGAAACGGUACAAGUUGCCGGACGAUGGAUCAUAUGAUAUGAACGCUCGUUACGUGUUUGAGUUUAACGCGAACGAUGUCGUUGCAGAUGCAAUGUACUAUGCACGAAUUCAGGCUAUAAAGGCAUGGUACAGAGCAAAUGCUGAUGAUCGACCGAUGCCAAAUACAAAGGCCGAGUGGUCAUCAAUUUACUUGACGGAGGAGCAAUACCUAGAGGUAAACAGGUUGUUGCCUCUCAUAUCGCACAAAGCCAUGUAUUUGCUUGCUUUAUUUAAAAAAUUUCAUGUAGGUGUCGGUGCCGUGGAUGGCCACCCGACCAGACGGUUAUCGGGCAUUGUGCAGAUGGUGGGCUUCCCCUGACUUUCGUGCCAUUUCCGAAAGGAACAGGGGAAACCGUGGGACUGAGUCGUUCCACAACUACGGCGGUGAUGGUCAUGUGCGCUUGGCUAAGCGAAUGGUAAGUCACAGUUUGUCGUAACUUUGAAUCACAUAGCAAAUGUGUCAUUAUAACUUUUAUGUACAGGAAGUCAAAUCCGGCCGUACGCCCACGGAUGUGGAGGUGUAUAUGCAAGGGCAUAGGGGUUCUGAUCCUCAGAAUCCUGAUGUGUUAUGCACUCAGACGACCACCGACCGUCUAGUGAGUUUUUGAUACUCUAUUUUGUGUGUUGAUAUUGUUUGCAAGGGCAUAGGGGUUAUGCACUUAUAUUUGAUAUUGUUUGCCUCCAGGCUUCGUAUGGGCAGGAGAUGGUUCAACGCCAUGGGGAGGAGUACGAUUGGAGGAGCCAGCCAAUCGACCCUCAGGCAGCAUAUGCUAGCGCAGGAGGACAAGCUCAUGGACGGUGAGAUUAUUUGAUUUGGUUUUCAAAAUUGUCAUCAUAUGCUUGCGAUUCAACUGAGCCAUGAGUUACUACACUAAGUGCAUGGUUCACUCUUGUAGGUUGGGUAUUUUUGAUUCUACGAUUGAUUCCAGAGAGCUGAGACGCCGUGGACGACAAUCCACAUCGUCGUCUUCACAGUCGUCCCGUUCACGAUCAGCAGCCCAUGAGAUAGAGCUUGCAGUGUUGCGUCAACAGGCAGAGUACCAUCAAUCAGUCUUGAGGGAACAAUUGGAGUACCAGAGGCAACAAUCUGAAUACCAGAGACAACAAGCCGAGUACCAGAAGAAGAGGGACGAGUAUUAUGCAAGCCUCCAGGCCCAAAAUCAAGCUCUUCUCUCGGUAAGUUGAAGUAACAUUUUGUAGCUUAUUUUGCAAAACACUUGAUGUGUAUCUUGUUUGUUCAACAAUGACUUGUAUAUAAUUUGUAGCAACUAGCCCAACAAGCGGGCGUCCCGAUGCCGACAUAUGGGAUGCCGCCUCCGGACUUUGCACUGCCAAUGCCAAUGUUGGCGCCUCCACCUCCGCCUCCGCCUACGUCACAAUUCCCUAUGGUAUGUACACAUAUGCGUGUGUGACAUGUUCAUAGAUGUCUUAUGUGUUUAAAUGAACAACUGAGUGGUUACUAUUUCAUGUGCUUGUGUUAUAGGGAUUUCAGACACCACCCGCUUCAGUUGCCGCACCUGGAGAUGGGUCUGGGCAAGACGACACAACACAUUCGUGGGUCAACAACCUAUUCAACACGCAGAGUCCAGCCGGAGGAGGUGGCUACUCGAACCAUCCAGACGAUGGAUAUGAUUGAUGUGUCGUGAUGUUUAUUUAUGAAACACUUUGCAACACUUGUUUGUGAGACACAAUUUCAGUUUGCAACAACCGUCGAACCUAUAUGUUGAUGUUAAAUUUGUGAAUGUUAUUAUUUAUGUGAGAAUAUUUGUGAUUGUGAAUACUUAUUAGAAUGUGUAUAUUUGUGAUUGUGAAUGUGAAUGUGUAUAUGUGCAUGAAUCUGUUUUUGUUUUGUAAAUGUCAGAUUUUUUAAAAAACAGAAUUUUGUGUAAAUUCUGUAAUUUGUUAUGUCCGACGGCCUAGUGGUAGCCGUCGGACAUAACACAUGGUUAUGUCCGACGGCAUUAACUACCGUCGGACAUAAAGGGAUGCUUAUGUCCGACAGCAUUAACUACCGUCGGACAUAAGGGAUGCUUAUGUCCGACGGCCUAGUGGUAGCCGUCGGACUUAAUCUUGUGGGGCCCACAUUCCGACCGGUAAAACGGUUGGGAUUUGUUAUCUCCGACGGGCACACGCAGCCGUCGGAGAUAGCUUAUGUCCGACGGCUGCCGUCGGACAUUGCGCUAUUUCCGACGAGUUAUCUCCGACGGCUUAAAGCCGUCGGAGAUAAGGCUUUGCCAUCGGAAAUAAUCUAUUUCCGACGGUUUAUUCCUUAUGUCCGACGGUUUUGACCGUCGGACGUUUCUCCGUUUACUGUAGUGGCACUAGCAGAAAAGUGCCGGUCAGACACGCAGCUGAGAGCACCUAGAGGGGGGGGGUGAAUAGGUGAUCCUGUAAAAACUUAACUUAUAGCCACAAAAACUUGUUAUGGGUUAGCACAAUAAUUGCCAAGUGGCUAAGGAGGAGAUCUUGCACAAUAUGACAAUCACAGAGAAGACACAGAGAUUUAUCCCGUGGUUCGGCCAAGUACAAAACUUGCCUACUUCCACGUUGUGGCGUCCCAACGGACGAGGGUUGCAAUCAACCCCUCUCAAGCGGUCCAAAGACCCACUUGAAUACCACGGUGUUUUUGCCUUGCUUAUCUUUAUCCCACUCGCGAGGAAUCUCCACAGAUUGGAGUCUCUCGCCCUUACAAUUAAGAUUCACAAAGAAGCACGGAGUAAGGGAGGGAAGCAACACACACAAAUCCACAGCGAAACGCGCACACACACGGCCAAGAAUCGAGCUCAAAGACUAUCUCACAGUUUCUCACAAGAACAGAGCUCGAAUCACUUAGAAUCACAAACGGAUGCGCAAAGACUGAGUGUGGAUGAUCAAGUAUGCUCAAGAGUUGCUUGGUUGCCUCCUCCAUGCGCCUAGGGGUCCCUUUUAUAGCCCCAAGGCAGCUAGGAGCCGUUGAGAACAAAACUGGAAGGCCAUCCUUGCCUUCUGUCAUCGGGCGCACCGGACAGUCCGGUGCACACCGGACACUGUCCGGUGCCCGAUUCCUUUCCUUAAAUGGCGAAGCCGACCGUUGCAGAUGCGGGAGCCGUUGGCGCACCGGACAUGUCCGGUGCACACCGGACAGUCCGGUGCCCCCUUCCGACCGUUGGCUCGGCCACGUGUCCUGCGCUGAUCACGCGGCCGACCGUUGGCCCUGGCCGACCGUUGGCUCACCGGACAGUCCGGUGCACACUGGACAGUCCGGUGAAUUUUAGCCGUACACCGUCAGCAAAUUCCCGAGAGCGGCCUCUUCGACCGAGGCAGCCUGGCGCACCGGACACUGUCCGGUGCCCCAGACCGAAACAGCCCCUUGGCUGCACACAGCCAAGUCUUCUCUUCUCUUCUUCUUUCUGUUUCUAACACUUAGACAAAUAUAUUAGUACACAAAACCAAUGUACUAAGACUUAGAAACAUACCUUUGUUGAAGAUUUGCACUUUGUUCAUCCAUGGGCAUUGAUUUACAUUUAAGCACUUGUGUUGACACUCAAUCACCAAAAUACUUAGAAAUGGCCCAAGGGCACAUUUCCCUUUCAAUCUCCCCCUUUUUGGUGAUUUAUGCCAACACAACAUAAAGCAACUAGAACAAGUGCAAAAUCACUUCAAAUAAAAACUCAAAUUGGUUUUGAUUCAAUUUUGGCAUAUAUGGAUCAUCCUUUGCCACCACUUGGUUUGUUUUUGCAAAUCAAACUCAAAUCUCUAUUUCUAUGUCAAACACACAUGUUGAGGCAUAAAGAGAGUCAUUCCAAAAGAGAUUGAUCAAAGAUUUCAAAAACUCCCCCUAUUUCCCAUAAUCAACACUUCUCCCCACAAGAAGCCAACUUUUGACAAUAGAGACAAUAAAAGACAAUAAAAGCUUUUGACACAACAAAAACUCUAUUCCACUAUUUUCAACAAAAUCUCUCAAGUGGUAGCUGAUCCAUUUAUCACUUUGGCCUUUAUUUUCUCCCCCUUUGGCAUCAAGCACCAAAACGGGAUUAAUCUUGGCCUUUUAACCCCAUUGCCUCACCAAAGUCUUCAAUUAAGAGCAAAUGGCAAUAAGAUGUCAUGAGAUGAACUUGGAAUAAGUUACCCUCUCAUCGGAGUGCAGUGGAAGUCUUUCAUGGUCCAAGUCCACCUUUUCCCUUUCAAUCCUCCUUCGUGACUAAAACAUCAAACUCAAGCACAUGGUUAGUCUCAAAGGGUCAAGUUGUAACACAUCUCCCCCUAAACAUGUGCAUCACUGUGCAACGGACUUGUGAGGUCCAGGGAGUGUUUUUACAACUUGAGCACCAUAAUAAAGCAACAAAAUGCAAGAAGGAACAUGAUCAAAAGCAUAAGUACAUGUAUGCUACAAUUCAAUCCAGGUUCCGCGAAUCUAUGACAUUUAGCUCACUACGCAACCUGCAAAAGGUCUUCUCAUCUAGAGGCUUAGUGAAGAUAUCGGCUAGCUGGUUCUCGGUGCUAACAUGAAACACUUCGAUAUCUCCCUUUUGCUGGUGGUCCCUCAAAAAGUGAUGUCGGAUGUCUAUGUGCUUUGUGCGGCUGUGCUCAACAGGAUUCUCCGCCAUGCGGAUAGCACUCUCAUUGUCACAUAGGAGUGGGACUUUGCUCAGAUUGUAGCCAAAGUCCCGGAGGGUUUGCCUCAUCCAAAGUAGUUGCGCGCAACACUGACCUGCGGCAACGUACUCGGCCUCAGCGGUGGAUAGGGCAACAGAGGUUUGUUUCUUAGAGUUCCAUGACACCAGGGACCUUCCUAAGAAUUGGCACGUCCCCGAUGUACUCUUCCUAUCGACCUUACAUCCAGCAUAGUCGGAGUCUGAGUAUCCAACUAAGUCAAAGGUAGACCCCUUUGGAUACCAGAGCCCGAAGCAAGGCGUAGCAAUCAAAUAUCUAAGAAUUCGCUUCACCGCCACUAAGUGACACUCCUUAGGAUCGGAUUGAAAUCUAGCACACAUGCAUACGCUAAGCAUAAUAUCCGGUCUACUAGCACAUAAGUAAAGCAAAGAACCUAUCAUUGACCGGUAUGCUUUUUGAUCAACGGACUUACCUCCUUUGUUGAGGUCGGUGUGUCCGUCGGUCCCCAUCGGAGUCUUUGCGGGCUUGGCGUCCUUCAUCCCAAACCGCUUUAGCAGAUCUUGCGUGUACUUCGUUUGGGAGAUGAAGGUGCCGUCCUUGAGUUGCUUCACUUGGAACCCAAGGAAGUAGUUCAACCCGCCCAUCAUCGACAUCUCGAAUUUCUGCGUCAUCACCCUGCUAAACUCUUCACAAGACUUUUGGUUAGUAGAACCAAAUAUUAUGUCAUCGACAUAAAUUUGGCACACAAACAAAUCACCAUCACAUGUCUUUGUAAAAAGAGUUGGAUCGGCUUUCCCAACCUUGAAAGCAUUAGCAAUUAAAAAGUCUCUAAGGCAUUCAUACCAUGCUCUUGGAGCUUGCUUAAGUCCAUAGAGCGCCUUAGAGAGCUUACACACAUGGUCGGGGUACCGUUCAUCCUCAAAGCCAGGGGGUUGCUCCACGUACACCUCCUCCUUGAUUGGCCCGUUGAGGAAAGCGCUCUUCACAUCCAUUUGGUACAACCUGAAAGAAUGGUGAGCGGCAUAUGCUAGCAAGAUACGAAUUGACUCUAGCCUAGCCACAGGAGCGAAAGUCUCCUCAAAGUCCAAACCCGCGACUUGGGCAUAACCUUUUGCCACAAGUCGAGCCUUGUUCCUCGUCACCACCCCGUGCUCGUCCUGUUUGUUGCGGAACACCCACUUGGUUCCCACAACAUUUUGCUUUGGACGAGGCACCAGUGUCCAAACUUCAUUGCGCUUGAAGUUGUUGAGUUCCUCCUGCAUGGCCAAUACCCAGUCCGGAUCUAGCAAGGCCUCCUCUACCCUGAAAGGCUCAAUAGAAGAGACAAAGGAGUAAUGCUCACAAAAAUUAACUAAUCGAGAUCGAGUAGUUACUCCCUUGCUAAUGUCACCCAGAAUUUGGUCGACGGGAUGAUCCCUUUGAAUCAUCGCUCGAACUUGGGUUGGAGGUGCCGGUUGCGCUUCUUCCUCCAUCACUUGAUCACCUUGUGCUCCCCCUUGAUCAAUCGCCUCCACUAGAGGUACCUGUACGUCACCUUCGGUUGGGGGAUGCACCAUAGUUGAGGAAGAAGGUUGAUCUCGUUCAUCUUGUUCCUGUGGCCGCACUUCUCCAAUCGCCAUGGUUCGUAUAGCGGCCGUCGGAACAUCUUCUUCAUCUACAUCGUCACAAUCAACAACUUGCUCUCUUGGAGAGCCAUUAGUCUCAUCAAAUACAACGUCGCUAGAGACUUCAACCAAACCCGAUGAUUUGUUGAAGACUCUAUACGCCUUUGUAUUUGAGUCAUAACCUAACAAAAACCCUUCUACAGCUUUGGGAGCAAACUUAGAAUUUCUACCCUUCUUCACUAGAAUGUAGCACUUGCUCCCAAAUACACGAAAGUAAGAUACAUUGGGUUUGUUACCGGUUAGUAGCUCAUACGAAGUCUUCUUGAGGAGGCGAUGAAGGUAGACCCUGUUGAUGGCGUGGCAAGCCGUGUUCACGGCUUCCGACCAGAAACACUCGGGUGUCUUGAAUUCUCCAAGCAUUGUCCUCGCCAUAUCGAUUAGCGUCCUGUUCUUCCUCUCUACCACACCAUUUUGCUGUGGUGUGUAGGGAGCGGAGAACUCGUGCUUGAUCCCUUCCUCCUCAAGGAAUUCCUCCACUUGAAGGUUCUUGAAUUCGGACCCGUUGUCGCUCCUUAUCUUCUUCACCUUGAGCUCAAACUCAUUUUGAGCUCUCCUGAGGAAGCGCUUGAGGGUCCCUUGGGUUUCAGACUUAUCCUGCAAAAAGAACACCCAAGUGAAGCGGGAAAAGUCAUCAACAAUAACUAAACCAUACUUACUCCCUCCUAUGCUCAGAUAGGCGACAGGUCUGAAGAGGUCCAUAUGCAGCAGCUCCAGGGGUCUUGAAGUGGUCAUCACGUUCUUGCCGUGAUGCGCUCCUCCCACUUGUUUACCUGCUUGACAAGCUGCACAAGGUCUAUCUUUUUCGAAAUGCACGUUAGUCAAACCUAUCACGUGUUCUCCCUUUAGAAGCUUGUGAAGGUUCUUCAUCCCCACAUGUGCUAAGCGGCGAUGCCACAGCCAGCCCAUGCUAGUCUUAGCUAUUAAGCAUGCAUCUAGACCGGCCUCUUCUUUUGCAAAAUCAACUAAAUAAAGUUUGCCGUCUAAUACACCCUUAAAAGCUAAUGAACCAUCGCUUCUUCUAAAGACAGACACAUCUACAUUUGUAAAUAGACAGUUAUACCCCAUAUGACAUAAUUGACUAACAGAUAGCAAGUUAUAUCCAAGACUCUCUACUAAAAAUACAUUAGAGAUAGAAUGCUCAUUAGAAAUUGCAAUUUUACCUAACCCUUUUACCUUGCCUUGAUUCCCAUCACCGAAAAUAAUUGAAUCCUGGGAAUCCUUAUUUUUGACGUAGGAAGUGAACAUCUUCUUCUCCCCCGUCAUAUGGUUUGUGCAUCCGCUGUCGAUAAUCCAGCUUGAUCCCCCGGAUGCAUAAACCUGCAAGGCAAAUUUAGGCUUGGGACUUAGGUACCCAACUCUUGUUGGGUCCUACAAGGUUAGUACAAAUUUCCUUAGGGACCCAAAUACAAGUUUUGUCACCCUUGCAUUUUGCCCCUAAUUUCCUAGCAAUUACCUUCUUACCCUUUCUACAAAUAGCAAAGGAAGCAUUGCAAGCAUAAUAAAUGGUAGAAGGUUUGUUCACAACUUUUCUAGGAACAUGAGCAAAAUUUUUCUUAGGCAUAUGCACAACAUGAGAACUAGAAGCAGUCAUAGCAUAAGAAUCAUAAGCAUGUGAAUCAAAAUCAUUAUAAGCAUUUCUAGCAUGUCUCCUAUCAUAGUACAAGAAAGCAUGGUUCCUUUUAGCACUACUAGCCAUAGGGGCCUUCCCUUUCUCCUUGACGAAGAUGGGAGCUUUAUGGCUUGUUAAGUUCUUGGCCUCUCUCUUGAAGCCAAGCCCAUCCUUAAUUGAGGGGUGUCUACCCACUGUGUAGGCAUCCCUUGCAAAUUUUAUUUUAUCAACUUCACUCUUGCUAGUCUUAAGUUGAGCAUUAAGACUAGCCACUUCAUCAUUUAGUUUUGAAAUUGAAACUAAGUGUUCAUUACAAGCAUUAACAUCAAAAUCCUUACACCUAGUGCAAAUUGUAAUAUUUUCAACACACGAGUUACUUGCUACUUCUAGUUUAGCAGUUAAAACAUUAAUUUCACCUUUUAAAGAAGAAAUGGUUUCAUUACAAGUAGAAAGUUCACAAGAAAGUAUUCCAUUUCUUUUAACUUCUAGAGCAAGUGAAUUUUGUGCACUGACAAAUUUAUCAUGUUCUUCAUAUAACAGGUCUUCUUGUUUCUCUAAGAUUCUAUCCUUUUCAUUUAAGGCAUCAAUCAACUCAUUAAUCUUAGCUAUCUUAGUUCUAUCCAGUCCCUUGAAUAAACUAGAGUAAUCAAUCUCAUCCUCACUAGAUUCAUCAUCACUAGAAGAAUCAUACGUAUUAGCAUUACGAGUGAUUACCUUCUUUUCCCUUGCCAUGAGGCAAGUGUGAUGCUCGUUGGGGAAGAGAGCCGAUUUGUUGAAGGCAGUGGCAGCAAGCCCUUCGUCGUCGGAGUCGGACGAAGAGCAAUCCGAAUCCCACUCCUUUCCAAGGUGUGCUUCACCUUUGGCCUUCUUGUAAACCUUCUUGUUCUCUCUCUUCCCAUUUUUUCCUUGCUCCUGGUCACUAUCAUUUUCGGGACAGUUAGCAAUAAAAUGACCAAGCUUACCGCAUUUGAAGCAUGAUCGCUUUCCCUUGGUCUUGGCCUUGCUUGGCUGUCCCUUUCGACCUUUUAGCGCCGUCUUGAAUCUUUUAAUGAUGAGGGCCAUCUCUUCAUCAUUAAGACCGGCUGCCUCAAUUUGUGCCACCUUGCUGGGUAGUGACUCCUUGCUCCUUGUUGCCUUUAGAGCAAUGGGUUGAGGCUCGUGGAGUGGACCGUUCAACGCGUCGUCGACGUAUCUUGCCUCCUUGAUCAUCAUCCGCCCGCUCACGAAUUUUCCAAGUACCUCCUCGGGCGUCAUCUUCGUGUACCUGGGAUUCUCACGAAUAUUGUUCACGAGAUGAGGAUCAAGAACGGUAAAUGACCUGAGCAGUAGGCGGACGACGUCGUGAUCCGUCCAACGCGUGCUUCCGUAGCUCCUUAUUUUGUUGAUAAGGGUCUUGAGCCGGUUGUAAGUUUGAGUUGGCUCCUCUCCCCUUAUCAUGGCGAAUCGUCCAAGCUCGCCCUCCACCAACUCCAUCUUGGUGAGCAUGGUGAUGUCGUUCCCCUCGUGAGAGAUCUUGAGGGUGUCCCAUAUCUGCUUGGCAUUGUCCAAGCCGCUCACCUUAUUGUACUCUUCCCUGCACAAAGAUGCUAAGAGAACAGUAGUAGCUUGUGCAUUUCUAUGAAUUUGUUCAUUUAUAAGCAUAGGGCUAUCUGAGCUAUCAAACUUCAUUCCAUUCUCUACAAUCUCCCAUAUGCUUGGAUGGAGAGAGAAUAAGUGACUACGCAUUUUGUGACUCCAAAAUCCGUAGUCCUCCCCAUCGAAGUGUGGAGGUUUGCCAAGAGGAAUGGAAAGCAAAUGCGAAUUCGAACUAUGUUGAAUACGAGAAUAAUCAAAUGAAAAGUUCGAGUUGACCGUCUUUUUGUAGUCGUUGUCAUCAUCCUUUUGGGAAGAAGUGGACUCAUCACUAUCGUCGUAGUAGAUGAUCUCCUUGAUGCGCCUUGUCUUUUUCUUCUUCCCUUCCUUCCGUUUAUGUCCCGAGCCGGAGUCGUUGGAUUUGUCAUCUUUUGGGUCGUUGACGAAGAACUCCUUUUCCUUGUCGUUGAUCACUAUUCCCUUCCCCUUAGGAUCCAUCUCUUCGGGCGGUAAGUCCCUUUGUGAAGAGAACUGCUCUGAUACCAAUUGAGAGCACCUAGAGGGGGGGUGAAUAGGUGAUCCUGUAAAAACUUAACUUAUAGCCACAAAAACUUGUUAUGGGUUAGCACAAUAAUUGCCAAGUGGCUAAGGAGGAGAUCUUGCACAAUAUGACAAUCACAGAGAAGACACAGAGAUUUAUCCCGUGGUUCGGCCAAGUACAAAACUUGCCUACUUCCACGUUGUGGCGUCCCAACGGACGAGGGUUGCAAUCAACCCCUCUCAAGCGGUCCAAAGACCCACUUGAAUACCACGGUGUUUUUGCCUUGCUUAUCUUUAUCCCACUCGCGAGGAAUCUCCACAGAUUGGAGUCUCUCGCCCUUACAAUUAAGAUUCACAAAGAAGCACGGAGUAAGGGAGGGAAGCAACACACACAAAUCCACAGCGAAACGCGCACACACACGGCCAAGAAUCGAGCUCAAAGACUAUCUCACAGUUUCUCACAAGAACAGAGCUCGAAUCACUUAGAAUCACAAACGGAUGCGCAAAGACUGAGUGUGGAUGAUCAAGUAUGCUCAAGAGUUGCUUGGUUGCCUCCUCCAUGCGCCUAGGGGUCCCUUUUAUAGCCCCAAGGCAGCUAGGAGCCGUUGAGAACAAAACUGGAAGGCCAUCCUUGCCUUCUGUCAUCGGGCGCACCGGACAGUCCGGUGCACACCGGACACUGUCCGGUGCCCGAUUCCUUUCCUUAAAUGGCGAAGCCGACCGUUGCAGAUGCGGGAGCCGUUGGCGCACCGGACAUGUCCGGUGCACACCGGACAGUCCGGUGCCCCCUUCCGACCGUUGGCUCGGCCACGUGUCCUGCGCUGAUCACGCGGCCGACCGUUGGCCCUGGCCGACCGUUGGCUCACCGGACAGUCCGGUGCACACCGGACAGUCCGGUGAAUUUUAGCCGUACGCCGUCAGCAAAUUCCCGAGAGCGGCCUCUUCGGCCGAGGCAGCCUGGCGCACCGGACACUGUCCGGUGCACCACCGGACAGUCCGGUGCCCCAGACCGAAACAGCCCCUUGGUUACACACAGCCAAGUCUUCUCUUCUCUUCUUCUUUCUGUUUCUAACACUUAGACAAAUAUAUUAGUACACAAAACCAAUGUACUAAGACUUAGAAACAUACCUUUGUUGAAGAUUUGCACUUUGUUCGUCCAUAGGCAUUGAUUUACAUUUAAGCACUUGUGUUGACACUCAAUCACCAAAAUACUUAGAAAUUUCCCUUUCAGCAGCACCUGUCCCUCGAAAUUGCAGCAAAUGGAAAUUAGUCAGCUUCAGUAUCACUUGCCGGAGUUCACGACGAGACGAGAGAACGUCCACCGGGGGAUGAUGCUCUGCCCAGCGGCUCUGGCGCGGUCGGGGCGCGCCCCAGACAAGCGGGGACAUGACCAAGCUGCGCGCUGCCGGGCAGCAGGCGCGACGCGACCGGAGACCCCCGCUACUGCCUAGCCACCGGCCACCGCCCGGGCCCGGCACAUGCUACCGAAGCGCAGAGCGAUGAGCGUCCGAUGCGCCACGGGCACGGCGGCUAACGAACGAACGAACCCGCGUGGCUGUGUGGAACGGAACGGGGGGCGAGCGGUGGAAGGCGGGAUUAGUUUAGUGAGGUGGAGCGGACUGGAUUAGAUUAAAGGACGGUCGGUUUGGGCGAUGCUUCUGGCGAUUAAUGACUUCGGUUUAAGCGAGGGGGAUUUGGCCCGGCCGGCGAUCCCGGCAUCGUGGUGUGGACGACCGGUUCGCGCGGUGAUCGAUGUCAACGUGGGCGGUGCUCCUCCACGCAGCACGCCUGGAAGAACCCGACGACGACGGAGCCAGGCUUGCUCUGCUUUCCGCCCAACUUGCUGCGCCCGCCGCCGCCGCUCUUCGUCCAAUGCCUCUGCCCUCUGGUUGGCGAGUAGUGAGUGACUACUGACUAGUCUACACUGCAACUGCUUCGACAUAGCCGAGAGCAGUCUAGAUGCUGCGAUCCGCUUCGGAGAAGAAAGAAAGAAUAUUGGAAGGGGAUCUCCCGUUCAGUUUAAGGAAACAGAAACGCACUACAUGUGGUCUGGUACAUGCUAUGGUCUAGGUACACGUGAUCUACUCUGUUGACUCUUCUUCCAUAGGAUCCUUAGGUUUUCAGAUUUUGGUGCUUGACACCAGAUAGAGAGAGGAUUUGCUAUCUUUGAUGUGUAAUAGUCUUAUGACACUAUCAUAUGUCCAUAUGUUAUAAGCACGGGACCGUUAAUAAAAGUCAAGUAUUUUCAGAAAACCUCAAACCUUUUUUUUCACGUACUCAAUUCAACAAUCUAAAAAAACAGAUUUCAACACUUAGGUCUCUAGUUGAAUUUUGGCAAUUAAUGAAACAUUAGGUUAUUGUGACUAAUAUAUGCUUUGCAGAGGUAAAUUGAGCUAGGUUACAAUAAUAAAGAUUGGUUGGGUGUCUAUGGUUUUGUGCCCCUAUUGAUGGAAAUCAAUUAUUGGUUUUUAAAUGAUAAGUAAAAUGGCUAAGGAUCAGCUACUUUGAAGUGUCAUGGAGUUGAUUGACACGGAGAUUAGUGACAAGACAUUUUUUUCCUUUUGC